UGGGGAAUAUUGCGCAAUGGGGGAAACCCUGACGCAGCAACGCCGCGUGAAGGAUGAAGGUCUUCGGAUUGUAAACUUCUUUGAUGAGGGAAGAAUAAAUGACGGUACCUCAAAAACAAGCCACGGCUAACUACGUGCCAGCAGCCGCGGUAAUACGUAGGUGGCAAGCGUUGUCCGGAAUUACUGGGUGUAAAGGGCGUGUAGGCGGGAUGUUAAGUCAGAUGUGAAAUUCCAAGGCUCAACCUUGGAGCUGCAUCUGAAACUGAUGUUCUUGAGUGAUGGAGAGGAAAGCGGUAUUCCUAGUGUAGCGGUGAAAUGCGUAGAUAUUAGGAGGAACACCAGUGGCGAAGGCGGCUUUCUGGACAUUAACUGACGCUGAGGCGCGAAAGCGUGGGGAGCA
rnacentral:rRNA from 1 species